rnacentral:rRNA from 1 species
GACGAAGGGGGCUAGCGUUGUUCGGAAUUACUGGGCGUAAAGCGCGUGUAGGCGGUUGCCCAAGUCGGGUGUGAAAGCCUUGAGCUCAACUCAAGAAAUGCACUCGGUACUGGGUGACUAGAGGACCGGAGAGGAUAGUGGAAUUCCCAGUGUAGUGGUGAAAUGCGUAGAGAUCGGGGAGGAACAUCAGUUGCGAAGGCGGCUCUCUGGACCAGCACUGACACUGAGGCACGAAAGCGUGGGGAGCAAACAGG